CCAGUAUAUCAUACCUAUCAAAGUAAAAAGAAAAAAUAGCCACUCUCCUAUUCAGAUGAGGAUAGUGAGUCAACAAAUGCAGGGGCCAACAGUGAAAGGAGUUAUAAUAGAAAUAAUAGUUCAAGCCCUGAGGUUAGAGGGGAAGAAGAGGUUACCCCUAAUCCUAAAAUAAAACUAGAACAAAAAGAAGGAGAUGUGAUCUGUAGUAAGGAACCAGAGGUUCUUGGAUCAAUUAGAUGGAAGGUUGACAAAGAAA
rnacentral:lncRNA from 1 species